rnacentral:lncRNA from 1 species
AAUCAUAGCUCAAAUCAGAAUUAAAUCAACUGAGAAAUUGACAACAUAAUUGUUUCGUAAAAUAAAUAGUUUUUCAAACUGAAGCCCCAGAAGCCCAUAACAAUGCAGUGAGUUUUACUGUUUCAAUCGUUUCCAAUCAAAGAUUAGCGGGCUCCAUCCGAAAAUUUGGUGAGUGACAAUAAAAAAAAAAGUUAAAAAGAAUCGAAUGAUUCUGAACAGUUAAAUUCUCUAAUAUUUUAUUUUAUUUUUUAUUUCUACAUUUUUGAUCCAAACAUAAUCUAAUAUACAAGCGUUGAAGAAGCAUAUGUGUAACGAUCCAGGUGCUUAUACGUGGCAAAACAAUGAUCAACAAAUCAAAAAGUGUCACAUUUUGACUUGUCUAUUUUUAUUUUUUAUUCCUUCAUCAAAUUCUCAAUCCAAUUAUAGCCUUACACAAAAAUCAACGAAGCACGUGUGUAAUGAUCCGGAUGCUUAUACACAGCAAAACAAGGAUCAACAAAUCAAAAGGUGUACCUUUUAACUUUUUUUUUCUUUUUUAUUCUUAUAUCAAAUUAUGGAUCCAAAUACAGCCUUACACAAAAAUUGACGAAGCACAUGUGUAACUGUUGGGAUGCUUAUACAUGGCGAAACAAGGAUCAACAAAUCAAAAAGUGCCACCUUUUGACUUCGAUCCAAUGGGUCAUUUUCCAGCACAACACGUGAUCACUACUAAUCCACAAAAAGGUUUCAUUAAUCCAUAUCCAUUGCUUAAAGCCUUAAAGUCUCAUUAUUUGACAACUAUAUGCACUUUCUCACCCUAAUGCUGAUUAGGUUUUGUGCUUUUGGCCAUAAGAAAAAGUGGAUUUGGUUUGACAUGUGGGGUGGUAGUAUACUGCCCAAAUGUGCCCAUGGUCUCUAUAAAUGCGUAUUUAUAAAUAUAUAUAUUAAUUAUAUAUCCUUUUUAUUAUAUAUUAAUUAAUUAAUUAUAUUGGAUUGAAAGGACAUGUACGAAUUGAACAUACACAAGACACCUUGUUUGAUUGCAUAUUCCUAUACCUAAUUAUUACCCUUAAUUUGUUAAUGGUGCCACAUGGAGGCUCAGUAUGGUCAUCUAAAAUGCUAGCUCCCUUAUUUUAUUUUAUAUUUAUUUUGCCAGAUGUAAAAUGUUAUUAAGACGGUCAUUCAAUACUUCUUUAUAAACUCGAACUCUAUUACAUUUGAUGCAGGGAUAAACAUGAUGGAUGAAAGCUAAUUUAAGUAAACACACACAACACAAUAAGAGAAACUAAUUCUCUGAGAUAAUCUGUAAUAUUAUUAAUCCAAAAAGGGCAUAGGACGAAGGUUCUUACAGUACUUGUAAUCCCCAGAAACCCUGAUUACUAAAAUAAAUUUAAAAAUUAAGAAAUUAAAAAAAUUACCAAAAAAGAAAAAAAAAAUCCAAUUAUGACUAAAUCUAGAUUCUAGACAACUAAAGAAACAUAACCUAAAAAACCUAACCUAAUUCGGUAUUAUAUAAACUAAGUUAUUAAAAAAAUAAAUCUUUUCAAAAAUAGUAAAAUUGUCUUUUUCGAUGCCUAAACGAUGGAAUUUGUCCAAAAUCCGGCCUUAGUCACGGCAAGAGGUGAGUAUUGUUAAUUGGGUCAUUUUUCAUCAAACUAGGGUCUUCCGGCCCAGUUCGAUUGACGUCGGCCCGAACCCAAAUAUAUCCUGGUACUCCAUGUAAGUAAGGCGUAUGCCAUCUGCAUCACAUUUUCUCAUAAUCAACAUAUACAACCACUCGAGCUAAGCUCAAGGUUUACCUAGUUUAAUUGACACCUUGGAGAAAGUAGAUUUGGGCUCUUUGAUUCUCCAAUUUUAACCUAAUUUUUGGGAUUUUUUAUCUCCAUUUUAAUGUGCUAUAAAAUGAUUUUUUUUAUUUUCUUGGGUUCGUCGUGAUUAGAGAAAUUAUAAAAUUAGAAAGAAAAAAAAUAACUUAUUUUUGUCUUGAAUUAAUUUUUUUAAAUAUUUAUAUCUUUUUUACUUUUUAUUUUUCUUUAAUCAUGAUGAAUUGAAAGAAAAAAAUUGAUAAAGAUCAAAAUAUAUUAAACUCAACCUAAUAAAAAUAAAAGAAAAACUGACGUGCAAUUUAAAAAAAAAAAGCGCAAGUGUAAAAAUAACUAGCAAAAAUAAAAGGUUUUCUAGUUCAAAACUUCAAAGCAUGGCACUUUAGGCUUAUGAAACAGGCUGGCAAUAAAAAAAAUAAAAAAGCCAACAUAUAAUUGUGUAUCAAAUCAAAAAAAAAAAAAAAAGCCACCAUCAAUCAUACAACACUUGUUCGGCUCAUAGUUUUAGUACUUGAGAUGCUCUUACUGAGUCCUGUCUUUUCAAUUUUGUCCUGGAAUGAUUAUAUUUGACUUUUGAUUUUUGUUGAAAUGUUAUGUAAGUAAUAAAUAAAUAAAAUAAAAAAAUAUUAUAGAUUUUAUUUGUUAAUUUUUUGACUUUAAUAUACAUUUUAAGUUAAAAAAAUAAAAUAAUAAUACUU